UACGUAGGGUGCGAGCGUUAAUCGGAAUUACUGGGCGUAAAGCGUGCGCAGGCGGUUUUGUAAGUCAGAUGUGAAAGCCCCGGGCUUAACCUGGGAAUGGCAUUUGGGACUGCAAGGCUGGAGUGUGGCAGAGGAGACUGGAAUUCCCGGUGUAGCGGUGAAAUGCGUAGAUAUCGGGAGGAACGCCGGUGGCGAAAGCGAUUCUCUGGCCCGUUCCUGACACUGAGGCGCGAGAGCUAGGGGAGCAAACAGG
rnacentral:rRNA from 1 species